AAAACUUACUACUUUAAAAAAAAUUACGGGACGGGUAAAGAAAUUACAGAACGGGUUUUAUUUUGAAAUUGGGUUAUAUGGUGGAUGUAUUUGAAUCAAUAUUUAUAAAAUUUUAAAAUAUUAUUAAUAUGUUGUUUUAAUAGGGAUUAAAACUUCAGUUUUUUAACAAUUAUCUCAUGGAUUCGUGGUAUACCGUUACUUAAUAACAAUUAUAAACUGUAAAAUAUAAAUAUUUUAUAAAAAUAAAAUUUGCAAGUUUUAAUAUAUAUUAAUUUUAAAAAAUAAAUCAUCCUGCGGUAUACCGGGGGUUAAAAUCUAGUUAAAGGUUUAUAAUCUAGGCAUUUUUUUCUUUAACGUAGGCAUAUACAUCA
rnacentral:sRNA from 1 species